UCCGGUCAUGCGCCUCACUCCUGUUGUGGAGGUGGACGUGAAGAAGGGCUGCGGCUCGGUGAGGACGAGGACAUUGACGGCAGCGAUGAGAGGAAGGCGUGCAAGGCCUGCGGACAGAGUUGCAACACCGAUCUGAAGGUAAUGACUGUGACCUCUUAGCAGAUCACCACCUCCUUUACUCCACGUUGGCUGAAAGCCACUCACUGCCCAGGUGUGAGGAUGAAGGAGGCCACAUCAGUGUCCUUGACUGUGUUCCUGUCUGCUGCAGAAACCAAGAGGCCAGUUUGGGUCACUAAGGACUGAGGAUUGUCGGUGACAACACCUGUCAUGGACAGUGCUGAGCCCACCUGGAGAAAGGGAAUCGGCCAGUGACGGGGCACAGCCCUGGGCUCUCUGCCUCCUGAAGAUUUAGGAUAAAAGGACCCCGGAGAAUCUCUCCAGAGUGUCCUACAGCUAGGAGAAGCUCUUGUGGGGCUAAUGUGUAAUCCAGAAGUCACAAUUUAGUGGCAUUAAAAAAAACAACCACAAAAAGCAACCCAACCUUGAGGAAGAGGCUAGUGAUGUCAAAAGCCAACAGUUUUCCCAAGGAGAGAGAGAAGCCAGCACAAAAAGGGCGUACGGUAACCAGGAUGAUAUUUGAUGACGACAAAAAAUUAAAGC